rnacentral:rRNA from 1 species
CAGUCGUACCGGUGGGUAAUCAGCCUUUCGGCGUGAUUAUGUGGAGCGUGAGGAGUUAAACGCCCUCAUGCCUGCAUAUUCGUGUUCUUUGGGUGUACUUACCCGCAUGGUAGGUUAACAUCAAUUUCGAACGUCAUAAAAUGGUUGGAGGAAUGUAGCUUCGAUCUCGUAUUGAAGUGUUAUAGCCUCCGGCAGAUGUGAUGAUCGGGAUUGAGGAUUGCAACGGAUACCCUUCGGGGCUACCCGUCUGAUCUCUGAAAGUUACUCUGGUGCCGAAAGCUCGCUUACGGUCAUCAAAGUUGACGUUCAACAGGUUAGAACGGGAUAAA